rnacentral:rRNA from 1 species
GACGAACGCUGGCGGCGUGCUUAACACAUGCAAGUCGAACGGAAAGGCCCUGCUUUUGUGGGGUGCUCGAGUGGCGAACGGGUGAGUAACACGUGAGUAACCUGCCCUUGACUUUGGGAUAACUUCAGGAAACUGGGGCUAAUACCGGAUAGGAGCUCCUGCUGCAUGGUGGGGGUUGGAAAGUUUCGGCGGUUGGGGAUGGACUCGCGGCUUAUCAGCUUGUUGGUGGGGUAGUGGCUUACCAAGGCUUUGACGGGUAGCCGGCCUGAGAGGGUGACCGGCCACAUCGGGACUGAGAUACGGCCCAGACUCCUACGGGAAGCAGCAGUGGGGAAUAUUGCACAAUGGGCGGAAGCCUGAUGCAGCAACGCCGCGUGCGGGAUGACGGCCUUCGGGUUGUAAACCGCUUUCGCCUGUGACGAAGCGUGAGUGACGGUAAUGGGUAAAGAAGCACCGGCUAACUACGUG